rnacentral:tRNA from 9 species
GGCGUGGCUCAACGGUAGAGCAGCUGAUUUGUAAUCAGCAGGUUGGGGGUUCGAUUCCCUCCGCC